UUACUACUACUUCUACUACUACUACGACUAUCUUCAUGUCGAAUGUAAACUUGUGUUUAUUUCUGGUUGGUUUAUUGAUUAUAUGAAGAGAAAGAAAGGCGAAGGGAACAGGGAACCCCUGUCUACGGAAAGCAAGGUGCUGGAUAUCAAAGGAGUACAUGAAUUACUUGAAGUAGUAGAAGAAGAAGAAGAGGAGGAAGGAGAGGAAGCAGAAGAGGAAGAAGAAGAAGAAGAAGACGAAGAAGAGGAAGAAUUUGAUGAAGAAACUGAUUUUGAUGAGGAGGAAACUGAUUAUUUUGAUGAAGAAGACGACUAUUUUGACGAGGAGGAAAUAGAAGAAGAGGAAGAAGUGGAGAAGGAGGAAGAAGAAGAAGAAGAAGAAAAAGAACAGCCACAGGAACAAGCAUCAGUGUGAACUGGAAGCUCACCAACUGUGUUAGGGUAACUCUUCUCUUCCUGUAUAAACAUUACAAGAAGUUUUGGAAGCCUCUUAUAACCCCCAUUACUUUACUACAGUUUUUAAGCAAGGACAGUCUUCAGAGGUUGUUUUUGCAGACAAGUUUCACUGUAGAUGUUUCUUCUCAAAAGAUGAUAACUAAAAAUAUCUCAAGAACAAUAUUCAACUUUAUCAGUCAAGAACAACAAACUGUCAACCCAAGAAAUAUCUGGGUUUCUUCAAGAUCCUUCCUUCAAGAUAGGAGCAGCUUUAAAAAUGUACUUAAUUCAGCCCACCAUGUCACAAUUGCUACAUUUCUAUUCUGGGCCAUUGGCAGUCUUCAGAAGUAAUUUCAUCUUAAUGAUCUUGAGAUCAAAUGUCAUCUUGGCAGUUCACAUUCAUAUACCAGAAAAUUCUUAGGUAUGUCACAUUAAACAGGUAUGUAAUUAUUGUAGAGUUAGGGUUUUUAAGACCUAUUUUGUACUAUCUUGUUACUGUUUUUAUAGAAAUGCUUUUUUGAUUUUACAUACUUUCAUGUAGUAUGCCAGUGCACUUAAGUCUGUUCCACUAUUAGCAGUCUGUUGUUGUAGGCAGAGUUCAUUGCACCACUUUUUUCGAAAGUAAAUUUUUGUAUUAGAUUUGUACUGUCAUA